AUUGAACGCUGGCGGCAGGCCUAACACAUGCAAGUCGAGCGAGCGGCGGACGGGUGAGUAAUGUAUGGGGACUGCCCGAUAGCGGGGGAUAAAUACUGGAAACGGUGGCUAAUACCGCAUACUAUCGGAUAACCCAUAUGGGAUUAGAUAGUAGGUGGGGUAAAGGCUCACCUAGGCGACGAUCUCUAGCUGGUCUGAGAGGAUGAUCAGCCACACUGUGACUGAGACACGUCCCAUCCUCCUCCGGGGGCAUCAGUGGUGAAUAUUGCUCAAUGGGCGCAAGCCUGAUGCCGCCAUGCCGCGUGUAUGAAGAAGUCCUUAGGGUUGUAAAGUACUUUCAGCGGUGAGGCGUUACCCGCAGAAGAAGCACCGGCUAACUCCGUGCCAGCAGCCGCGGUAAUUC
rnacentral:rRNA from 1 species